GCUUAAAGGUAGCUGAGUGUAGCUUAUCUGCCGAAACAAUGUAAAGUUUGCUUAAAUUCAUACUAUGACACACGUGGCAGACUAUUUGUUUUGAACCAUACCUUCCCACCAGCUCGUGUAGAGCGUGAUUCAUUUCAACGAUCUCUCACGAUAGUACACCAUUACCCAUUAAUCCCAACGCUCUUACGAGAACCGCAAGUUGUAUACCACACUGCUCAUGAGAUACACAUUCAUAUAGAGUAAAACGAAGCGUGCGGGGAAGACCGAAGGCUGGAGACGCAUGGUGGUAGCCUAAGGCCAGGCCUGCCUACCACUACACAAUAAUAACGCCAGGCCCUGGUAAAUGUGGCAGCCGUGUCCCACCACCCCUCCCAUCACACAACCACAAUCUUGUGGUGGAAUGUUGUGUUGUGAGGUGUUGCCAGCGAGAGGAGUGUUGCCAGCGAGUGGGGUGUUGCCAGCGAGAGGAGUGUUGCCAACGAGAGGGGUGUUGCCUGUGAGGGGUGUGAGAGUGGUAUUACCUGCGGGUAGAGUGUUGCCUGAGAGUUCCCAGGGUGAGUGUUGCGUGGUGGUGCACGUGUUGGAGAGGCUGAAGGAUCCAACACCCUCCCCCUCUCCCUCUCCCGACCGCCACCAGUGUCUACACAAUACACCCAGCCAGCAAGUGGCUCGCUCACCCUGACACAACACCCACUUUUUCCUAAACCCCUGCACCCCCCACGGAAUCUUUUUGUCUUGUUAGUGGAUGUACCUGUGCUGGAACUCUGUCAGUACGCGUGUUUCUGUUUGCACCGUGAAUAUGGGAACUUAGUCAUGGACAUAGGGGCUUGUAUGCGCUUGCUCGUGAUUGCGCUCACACACACACACACAUACAAACACACGCGAGGCUUGACCAAAGAGCCAGAGCUCAACCCCCGCAAGCACAACUAGGUACACACACACACACA